UACGUAGGGUGCGAGCGUUAAUCGGAAUUACUGGGCGUAAAGCGUGCGCAGGCGGUUGUAUAAGACAGAUGUGAAAUCCCCGGGCGUCACCUACGGACGUAGCAUUUGUUGACUGUACGGCGUUGUAGUGCGGCGAGAGGGGGAGUGAAGUUACCGUCGUGUAGCAGUGAAAUAGCGUAGAUAUGCGGAGGAACACCGAUGGCGAAGGC
rnacentral:rRNA from 1 species